GACGAACGCUGGCGGCGUGCUUAACACAUGCAAGUCGAACGGGCCUGUCUUCUUUUUUGGGGGUGGGUUGAGUGGCGAACGGGUGAGUAUCACGUGAGUAACCUGCCCUUCGGUCCUGGAUAACCGCUUGAAAGGGCGGCUAAUACGGGGUGGUCCGGUUGGUCCGCAUGGGCUGGUCGGGAUAGAUUCACUGUUUUUGGUGUUUCGGCGGGGGAUGGGCUCGCGGCCUAUCAGCUUGUUGGUGGGGUGAUGGCCUACCAAGGCGGUGACGGGUAGCCGGCAUGAGAGGGUGGGCGGCCACACUGGGACUGAGAUACGGCCCAGACUCCUGCGGGAGGCAGCAGUGGGGGGUAUUGCACAAUGGGCGGAAGCCUGAUGCAGCGACGUCGCGUGAGGGAGGGAGGCCUUCGGGUUGUGAACCUCUGUUUCCGGUGGUGAAGGCCCUGUCCGUGUGGUGGGGUUGACGGUAGCCGGGGAUGAAGCGCCGGCUAACUACGUG
rnacentral:rRNA from 1 species